UUGACUCGUUUGUAUAAUACUCGGAGAUGCCAACACGCUGAGACAGAGUAUGCGGGCCGCCGGCGGGCGCGCGGAGCGCCCGCCGAGGCAACGACGGUAGGUAAGAUUCACAGUGGUAUUACGGGAGUAUGACGUCCUGUAAUGAUCCUUCCGCAGGUUCACCUACGGAAA
rnacentral:misc_RNA from 1 species